rnacentral:rRNA from 1 species
AUACGUAGGGUGCGAGCGUUAAUCGGAAUUACUGGGCGUAAAGCGUGCGCAGGUGGUUUUGUAAGUCAGAUGUGAAAUCCCCGGGCUUAACCUGGGAACUGCGUUUGAAACUACAAGGCUAGAGUGUGUCAGAGGGGGGUGGAAUUCCGCGUGUAGCAGUGAAAUGCGUAGAGAUGUGGAGGAACACCGAUGGCGAAGGCAGCCCCCUGGGUCAGCACUGACGCUCAGGCACGAAAGCGUGGGGAGCAAACAGUAUUAGAAACCCGAGUAGUCC